rnacentral:rRNA from 1 species
AGAGUUUGAUCAUGGCUCAGGAUGAACGCUAGCGGCAGGCCUAAUACAUGCAAGCCGAACGGCAAGCUUGGUAGCAAUAUCAAGCCUAGAGUGGCGUAAGGGUGCGUAACACGUAUGCAAUCUGCCCACAACAGGAGGAUAGCUCCCCGAAAGGGGAAUUAACCCUCCAUAGGACCACACGAGGGCAUCUGAGAGUGGUUAAACCAAAAGGGGUUGUGGAUGAGCAUGCGGUUGAUUAGCUAGUUGGUAGUGUAACGGACUACCAAGGCAAUGAUCAAUAGGGGAACUGAGAGGUUUAUCCCCCACACUGGCACUGAGAUACGGGCCAGACUCCUACGGGAGGCAGCAGUAGGGAAUAUUGGACAAUGGGCGAGAGCCUGAUCCAGCCAUGCCGCGUGCAGGAAGAAGGCCUUCUGGGUUGUAAACUGCUUUUGCCAGGGGAUAAAAAAGUCCCUGCGGGGAAAAUUGAAGGUACCUGGUGAAUAAGCCACGGCUAACUACGUGCCAGCAGCCGCGGUAAUACGUAGGUGGCAAGCGUUGUCCGGAUUUAUUGGGUUUAAAGGGUGCGUAGGCGGUUCUAUAAGUCAGUGGUGAAAUACGGCAGCUCAACUGUCGAGGUGCCAUUGAUACUGAAGAACUUGAGUACAGACGAGGUAGGCGGAAUUGACGGUAGCGGUGAAAUGCUUAGAUAUCGUCAAGAACACCGAUAGCGAAGGCAGCUUACUAGACUGUAACUGACGCUGAGGCACGAAAGUGUGGGGAUCAAACAGGAUUAGAUACCCUAGUAGUCC